rnacentral:rRNA from 1 species
UUAUAGUUUGAUCCUGGCUCAUGACGAACGCUGGCGGCGUGCCUAACACAUGCUAGUUGAGCGGAGAUAUAUGGAGCUUGCUUUAUAUAACUUAGCAGCGAACGGGUGAGUAACACGUAGAUAAUCUAUCCUAUACUGGGGGAUAGCCCGAUGAAAGUUGGAUUAAUACCGCAUAUAGCUAUAUAGUUGCAUGAUUAUGUAGUGAAAGAUUUAUUGGUAUAGGAGGAGUCUGCGGCACAUUAGCUAGUAGGUGAGGUAAAGGCUUACCUAGGCGACGAUGUGUAGCCGGUCUGAGAGGAUGAACGGCCACAAUGGAACUGAGACACGGUCCAUACUCCUACGGGAGGCAGCAGUGGGGAAUAUUGCACAAUGGGGGAAACCCUGAUGCAGCAACGCCGCGUGAGUGAAGAAGGUUUUCGGAUUGUAAAGCUCUGUUAGCAGGGAAGAGGAAGGACGGUACCUGCAGAGGAAGCCACGGCUAACUACGUGCCAGCAGCCGCGGUAAUACGUAGGUGGCAAGCGUUGUUCGGAAUAACUGGGCGUAAAGGAUGCGUAGGCGGUUAAACAAGUUAUAUGUUAAAUAUAUAGGCUUAACCUGUAGAAAGCAUAUAAAACUGUUUAACUAGAGUGCAGGAGAGGUAAGUGGAAUUCCUAGUGUAGCGGUGAAAUGCGUAGAGAUUAGGAAGAACACCAGUGGCGAAGGCGACUUACUGGACUGUAACUGACGCUGAGGCAUGAGAGCAUGGGGAGCAAACAGGAUUAGAUACCCUGGUAGUCCAUGCUGUAAACGAUGGGUACUUGGGUGGGGGUUGUGAAUAACAAUUCGUGCCGUCGCAAACGCAAUAAGUACCCCGCCUGAGGAGUACGAUCGCAAGAUUAAAAACUCAAAGGAAUUGACGGGGACCCGCACAAGCAGCGGAGCAUGUGGGUUAAUUCGAAGCAACGCGAAGAACCUUACCUAAACUUGACAUACCUUGAAUUACCUUGUAAUGAGGGAAGCUCGCAAGAGCAAGGAUACAGGUGGUGCAUGGUUGUCGUCAGCUCGUGUCGUGAGAUGUUGGGUUAAGUCCCGCAUCGAGCGCAACCCUUGUUGUUAAUUGUCUAACAGGUUAAGCUGAGCACUCUAGCGAGACAGCCUAGGUUAACUAGGAGGAAGGUGGGGAUGACGUCAAAUCAUCAUGCCCCUUCCGUUUAGGGCUACACACGUGCUACAAUGGUGAGAACAGAGAGAAGCAAGCUAGUGAUAGUGAGCAAAACUUAUAAAACUCAUCUCAGUUCGGAUUGCAGGGUGAAACUCGCCUGUAUGAAGAUGGAGUUGCUAGUAAUCGCGAAUCAGAAUGUCGCGGUGAAUACGUUCCCGGGUCUUGCACUCACCGCCCGUCA